UUCCGUAGGUGAAGCUGCGGAAGGAUCAUUGUCGAAACCUGCACAAGCAGAAAGACCCGCGAACCCGUUCACAAACGCCGGGGCGGCGACGCUCGGCCCAAGGCCGGCGCGGUCGCCCCGAAACCAACAAACCCCCGGCGCGGAUUGCGCCAAGGACCAUGAACAAUAGCGCGUCCCGCGCCGCUCGGUCUCCCGAAGCGCGCGCGGGGCGUCGUGUCGUUUCGAUACAUUAGAACGACUCUCGGCAACGGAUAUCUCGGCUCUCGCAUCGAUGAAGAACGUAGCGAAAUGCGAUACUUGGUGUGAAUUGCAGAAUCCCGUGAACCAUCGAGUCUUUGAACGCAAGUUGCGCCCGAAGCCUUCGGGCCGAGGGCACGUCUGCCUGGGCGUCACGCACCGCGUCGCCCCCCACCCCUGCAAAGGGGCGAGGGGGCGGACUCUGGCCCCCCGUGUGCGGAAUCCGCCCGCGGCCGGCCUAAACGCAGACCUCGUGGCCGCGCAUGGCCGCGACGAUUGGUGGUUUACUCGUGGCCUCGCGCCCGAGCAUCGCGUCGCGGCCUCGGCUGCCCAUGGGAGCUCAAAGGACCCCGGGGAGGAACCCCGUCGCCCCGAGCGGGCGGCGCGGGGGAUCUCCC
rnacentral:rRNA from 1 species